rfam:TPA: Bos taurus chromosome 7, whole genome shotgun sequence.
UCCCUUCUGGCUCAGCUGAUAAAGAAUCCACCUGCAAUGUGGGAGACCUGGGUUCAAUCCCUGGGUUGGGAA